CGAAAGGGGACAUAUUUAUUUGGCAUUUUCUUAAGGCAAUAUAUCUUAAUAUCAAAUAUGUGCAAUAUCUUACUAAAUUGUGAUAUUUCCCCCUGUUUCAGAACAUAGUAAGUGUUUCUAAGAAGACCAGGAAGCUUCUUUUUUUCUGUUAAUUAAUUACUUAGGGGAUAGUUUUAGCCUUACUGUCGUUAAUCGAAGUGAUAAGAAAAUACCUUAAAUGAAGAAAGAAUGGUUCAUUCGCAUUUGAGGGUGUCAAUAACUGUUAAUGGACUGUUCUUCAAUAAAAUUUGUUAUGAAAUCUAGAAGCGUAUUAACAUGGAAUAUUUACGCUCAAACUCGUAAGAUUUGGAUAUAUAUAUGUGAGUUCAUCUCACAUUCACUAUGAAAAGCAUUAAUACAACCAAUAAAAAUUAUCAAUAGUUUAGAAAUCUUAAGGUAGAACUUGUAAAUCUGAAAUUAUUAACUUUGGUAAGGUACUCUACAAAAAGCAAUAAAUAUAUUUUAGAGAAGCUAACUGGUACAUCUUCAGGUCCCAAACAGAAUCUGAAUAAUUACCAAUGCCAAGGCCAGGCUUAAAGUCGAAAAAGUUUGUGUCAAUCCAACCCAUGGAGCCUACAAGGGGGUGUUCUAUCACCGGUCGUUGGGAAUAUGAUUAUGGAUAGCUUAAUAAAUUUAAAAAAGGAGCAGUUAAGGUCGUUGGCUACACAGACAACCUCCUUUUAAUUAGUAGAAAAUAUCCCCAACCCCUUGUUAACACAAUGCAAAAGGCAAUCAAUUCUGUUAUUGAAUGGGGAAAAAAAAAAAGUAUUACCUUUAACCAAACAAAAUCAAGCGCUAUAGUUUUUUCGAAAGCUUAUAAACUUAGAUCAAAAUACAUUCCACAAUUAGAAAUGGACGGCAAAGUAAUGGAAUAUGCCACAUAUAUGAAGUAUCUAGGUUUGACUUUUGAUAAAGAACUUGCCCGGACAAAGCAUUUGAAAAAAAGUCUUCAAGUGCUCUUGGAUAUGGAAUAUGGCCAAGGCAA
rnacentral:lncRNA from 1 species